AUUAAAGCUUGUGCUGUCUUUUUACCUUUUGUUGCUGUGCUGGUUGGUAAUAUAGAUGAAACAUUUUCUACUAUCUGCUCACUUAAAUUCAAGAUUUGAAUGGAUGUCUCUGAGACAGAUUUAUGAAUUUUAGAAAUUUCUAUAUGUGUGGUGUUACAAGGCAUACAGUUUUCUAGUUUGUGCUGUUUGCGCUCUGUUUCAGAAAUUUUCAACCAUUGAAUUAAAUUAAAAUGGUUAAUAAAUGUCUCCCUUUCUCCACCUUGAUUUCUGUUUUCAUAGUGUUUUGCAUUUGUUACAUACUCCUGAAUCCUUGCUGUUUUUUGACAAUAUAACUUAAAAUUGUUGAUUUGCAUAGAUGGAUAUUU
rnacentral:lncRNA from 1 species